UACAGAGGUCCCAAGCGUUGUUCGGAUUCAUUGGGCGUAGAGGGUGCGUAGGCGGCGCGGUAAGUCGGGUGUGAAAUCUCGGAGCUUAACUCCGAAACUGCAUUCGGUACUGCCGUGCUUGAGGACUGGAGAGGAGACUGGAAUUUACGGUGUAGCGGUGAAAUGCGUAGAUAUCGUAAGGAAGACCAGUGGCGAAGGCGGGUCUCUGGACAGUUCCUGACGCUGAGGCACGAAGGCCAGGGGAGCAAACGGG
rnacentral:rRNA from 1 species